AGACCUGCACCAGGCUGGGAAGACUGAAUCUGCAAUAGGUGUAAUCCAUCACGCUCUGGACACAGCCUGGGAUGGGAAAGGACUGGCUUUAAUGGCUGUGUGACCAGACUGAUCAACCAGGAGAAACCACAUCUUCGUUUUUAAAAGCAUUCCUGUGAGGCUAAGUCGCAAGAGUUCCAGUCAAGUGGAAUGGGUGCAGGAACGGAGCGGAGGAGCUAUUUUCAGCCAGCCAAGACCCAGGAGUUGUCCGUUCUGAGCACAAGCACUUCAGCUGUCUGAAAACUCACAAGAACCCUGCAGCCCACUGGGACUGAUUACUUUAUCAAACUGUUUCAAGAUAUGCACUCUGCAUGCCAUAGGGUUCACUGAAAGGAGGGGGAUAUAGCAGGAGCAGUGUACCUUAUAGGGACAGUUUUUAAUGACUACGAGACUUACAUAACAGAAACAACUUGUAGCCCUUUCCUGCAGUCAAAUUACCUAUGGGUGGAAUGUUAUUCAUAUUUUUCAGCCUUUUAUCAU